AUACGUAGGGGGCAAGCGUUAUCCGGAAUCAUUGGGCGUAAAGGGUGCGUAGGCGGCCCUAUAGGUCAGAGGUCAAAGGCUACGGCUCAACCGUAGUAAGCCUUUGAAACUGUAGGGCUUGAGUGCAGGAGAGGAGAGUGGAAUUCCUAGUGUAGCGGUGAAAUGCGUAGAUAUUAGGAGGAACACCAGUGGCGAAGGCGACUCUCUGGACUGCAACUGACGCUGAGGCACGAAAGCGUGGGGAGCGAACAGGAUUAGAUACCCUGGUAGUCCACGCCGUAAACGAUGAGUGCUAGGUGUUGGGGGUCGAACCUCGGUGCCGCAGUUAACGCAUUAAGCACUCCGCCUGGGGAGUACGUACGCAAGUAUGAA
rnacentral:rRNA from 1 species